UAACCUGCCCAAGAGAUCGGGAUAACACCUGGAAACAGAUGCUAAUACCGGAUAACAACAGAUGAUGCCUAUCAACUGUUUAAAAGAUGGUUCUGCUAUCACUCUUGGAUGGACCUGCGGUGCAUUAGCUAGUUGGGUAGGGGUAACGGCCUACCAAGGCGAUGAUGCAUAGCCGAGUUGAGAGACUGAUCGGCCACAUUGGGACUGAGACACGGCCCAAACUCCUACGGGAGGCAGCAGUAGGGGAAUCUUCCACAAUGGACGCAAGUCUGAUGGAGCAACGCCGCGUGAGUGAAGAAGGGUUUCGGCUCGUAAAGCUCUGUUGUUGGUGAAGAAGGACAGGGGGUAGUAACUGACCUUUGUUUGACGGUAAUCAAUUAGAAAAGUCACGGGCUAACUACGUGCCCAGCAGCCGCGGGUAAAU
rnacentral:rRNA from 1 species